UGCCAUGUAUUUAUUCAACGUCACUGGGUGUUCACUCAUGUCAACCUCUUCAUCCAUCACCUGUGGAUGGCAAUAAUAAAGGCUCUGGCUACACAGGAGAGUAAGGGAAUUCACACAGAAGUGCUUGCCCAUGGUGAGUUCUCAGUAACUGUUAGCUACUCCUGUUAUCAUUUCCCUUUUUACCACCAGAGAGCUAAAGAAGAGGGUCAUUCCCCAUUCCCACAGAGGUGAGCCAUGGGGCUAAUGCAGGUGAGGGAGGCACAGGGUGAAAGAGAUUGAGUUCUGAGUAAUUAGAGCCCGAUGCAUACGGAAACAUCACCAACACUGAUCCUUUCUUUAUCUGAAAUUUUAAUAUUUUCUUCAUCAUGGAUUUUUGGCAUUCAUUUUUAUUUUUUAAUUAAAUCAUAGAUAUUAUAAUUGUUUUGACUACUGAGUUUUUUGGCGCCCAAUUCGUACCCA
rnacentral:lncRNA from 10 species